GUUAAUUCGACGCAACGCGAAGAACCUUACCAGGCCUUGACAUACUCGGCAAAGCUCUAGAGAUAGAGUGGAGGUUAUCCGGGAUACAGGUGGUGCAUGGUUGUCGUCAGCUCGUGUCGUGAGAUGUUGGGUUAAGUCCCGCAACGAGCGCAACCCUUGUCUUUAGUUACCAUCAUUCAGUUGGGGACUCUAGAGAGACUGCCGGUGAUAAACCGGAGGAAGUGGGGAUGACGUCAAAUCAUCAUGCCCCUUAUGGCCUGGGCUACAAACGUAAUACAAUGGCGUAUACAAAGGGAUGCGAAAGGGCGACCUGGAGCAAAACUCACAAAGUACGUCUCAGUUCAGAUUGGAGUCUGCAACUCGACUCCAUGAAGGCGGAAUCGCUAGUAAUCGCGGAUCAGCAUGCCGCGGUGAAUACGUUCCCGGGCCUU
rnacentral:rRNA from 1 species